AGAAAUCUUUGUUCCACUAUAUUUGUAGUUUUAGGGAUAAAAGGAACUUGUUAUUUACUUCCUUGACAAAUUAAAAUAAUGUUUCACUGGUUUUGGUUUCACUUUUAGGGGUUAUCAUAAAUGUCAAAACAGGCAUUUUCAUGUUUUUAACUCCCUGAAUGAAUUUAUUUAAAGCUUGAACUGUAUUUUUGCAUAUAUUACAUCAAUAUUUACUACAAAAGCCUGAUAUACACAUCUUUUUACACAUCUUUAUCAGAGUGCAGCUAAUGGUGGCGCACACCUUAUAAUCACCAUCUAUGGAGAGUCUCUUCUUUCUGAAAUCUGAAAUUGAAAGUAUUCCAAAAAGACACAAAUCAAUAUUCUUUCAUGGCCGUCUCAGACCAAACUCCUACAGAAAACCUGUAGGACGACCCAGAACCCAGCAAGAUCCAGACCAGGAAUUGACCGGCAACUGAUUUCUGAAUUGAUCCUGUUUGGCAAAGAAGUUGUUUCUUGAUCCUGUUUGGCAAAGAAGUUGUUUCUUGAUCCUGUUUGGCAAAGAAGUUGUUUCUCCAGCCAUUUUUAUUCAUGCAUUAGUUACCCUGCUCUUGGCGUUGGUGGUUACCAUAGCUACCGGUAACCGACAGCUCCGCCCCCUUUUUCUGUUACCGUUCUGUAACUGGCAUUUAUUAGGAUCUGCUCCAUGUUUUCUUUUGAUUAAAGCUGCUGAACUGAUGUUAAUCAUCAACUGGAUUCCCUCCUUUGUUAGUGAUAAGCGUGAAGCAGACACACUUAAGAGAUGUUGAGCAGAAUUGAGUCUGCCAAUCACAAACAGGAGGACAAUCUUGUGGGGCAUGUAAGCCCUCUUAAACAAAUUAAUGGCUUUUCAUGGUGAUCAGCGCGACGGUAGCUGAUUCCCUGAUGCCAGCCCAUCAAAUCCUCACUCAUCCAUGCUAUUCCCAGUUCUCCAAGGCGCUUUGCUGCUCUGUCUCUUCAGACAAAGGAGGCGAUGUAAAUGUAGAGGAUCCAGCAGCUUGAAUAUAUUUGCCAUGAAACAGAAGGAACAAAAUGUAACUGGAAAGCGGGAAAUGGAUUGAGAGAAAGUUUGGAACAGGCACAGAGGAUGUGAAGUAGCCCUAAUUAAUUCAACUUAAGAGUCUGUGAUGCUUGAAUGACUUCCUGUUCCAGCUGCUGCUUCUGGCUGGAUCACAGAUGAACUCGCAUUUAAUAACAGGGUGGAAACUUAUCUCAUCAGCUCAGGAGAACGACGGGAUUGUCACGGUCUUUUGGAGCUGCAGGGAGUGUGAGCAGAGUUUCUGCGUGCACACAUGAAGGUUUUCACAAACCGUGCUGCUUCUUCUUCUUCUCCUGUCAGCACAGGCGCAUAAUAAACAACAUCUUUCCCACCCAGGUGUUUUCAGACAUCUGCGAGCUGUGACUCCUCUCCUCCCACACACUCCCACUGUUUCGCUGCAGGCACAGCCGAAUCAAUACGUCAUUAGCCAGUCUCUCUGCUCACCCCGUGGUCUACAUCCCUCUCCACUCUUACUCCAUUCUACAUCGCAGUUCACACUAUUUCACGCUGCUUUUCCCCUCCCUUCACUGCUCCUCUCAUCGUCCGCCGACCCCCUCUUUUUCACUCUCCAGCCUGGCUUCUGGCCUAUUGUGUGCUUCUGUGCAAUGCUGAUGUGGAAGGGAGAGCGAGGAAAGAGGGAUAAGGAUGAUAGAAGGGGGUUAAAGGUGUAAGAGAGGGAUUUGAGCCAGAAGUAUGAAGGAGGGGGAGGCGGUUGAGGGCGAGAUGUGAGAGUGAAAUGAUUGUUGUAGUGGCUGGAUCCCUGAAGGAGUGAGUGGUGGCAGGAACGACAGCCCCAUUACUUCCUGGUCGCAGUGGCAGCUUCUUGGGGCUGUUGGGUAAACAGAGAGGCUGUAAAGGCGUCCACACGGCCAGGUAGCGACAUCACUCACCGGGAGCAGUCAAACGAGUUAAUGAGCAUCGGCGAGACAGGCCGGCCCCAGGCCAGCUACAAUAAUAUUGAAUGUUUUAGUAAUGGAGGGCUGAAGGAAGCAUAAGCCAGUAAAUAAAGAAUUCAAGAAUACAUAUGCAUGCGUUAAUGUCAA